rnacentral:lncRNA from 1 species
UAGCCAUUUUGAUGUAACCUGUUUUUGUGAGCUCAUACCUGGCUUUCAGCGACUGUUGUCUGUGAAAAAUAUAACUGCACUGCUGACUCUGUAGUAGGGAGAGAGAUGAAUAAAGCCAUGUCCCACCUACGGUCCCUCGAGGGUCUUUUCAGCUACCCACCACCUGUCCACCAACUCCCCUCCGACCCCAGCUCAGGUUGAAACCUGACAAUUGGUGUAGUUGGCAGGAUCCCAAGGUGAGACAGCCCUUAGUCCCCGAUGAUCCCGGUCAGCCAUGUGGCCCCAGCAUGGGUUGUGGUACCCGCUGGCAGCCGUGCUGCUAGGAUGGGCCCUGGUGGAUAGGUCCCCCAUGAGCAGGGAGAAGGCGCAGAAGCACCUGGAAGCACAGAACACUGAGGGAGCGGCGCCUUUGCCAGUAGAGUUGGAUGGACGAUUUUGGCUGCGCUAUGGGAAGUACAAGCUCAGUCUCUGCGGGAUGCAGCGCAGGGCUGGAGUUCAAGGUUGGACCUCAUGCUCUAAAACAUGAAUGAAUGGCUACGGAAAGGUGGCCCAGACCCGGUGGAGUCACU